GCAAUAAAAUCCAGUUCAAUGUUUAUCAUUAAAACAUCAACUAUAAUAUUGCCUUAUUAGCUGUGUGGGUAUUAGUUAUGAUAAUAUUUCUUUUAAAAUGAAUCUUAGAAUGAUCAAAAUAUUACAUUCACAAUGGCCAACCAGUGAACUAUUAAACUUUGUUAUAUAAAAAUCCUACUGAAUAUCUUCACUCAUUUUUAAGUAUUACAGGGCUUCCACAUAUCCUGCUCGAGUGGUGAGUAGAUGACCAUGCACCAUGGUAGGGAGGCAUGGUGUUGAGCCACUGAUGGAGGCACUACACUGCCAGGAUGUGUCUGUCAUGACACCAAUGAGGCAUGGCGGCAUUUGUUCAACCGGAAGGUGCUGCAGUUAGGCAGUCUCUUACUCCUUUAUCUCUAUUUUGUGUCGCUGCUUCUACUUUUGUUGUCUAAUGCAUAUAUUUGGAGGAUUUAGGUCAAAUGUCCCUAUUAGUGAAUACUGUGUUCUUAUGUAUUCCCAAGAAACUUUUUUGUUUUGACAACAAUUGGUGAGUUCGAACUAAAAGGGGCCAUACAUCAGAGAAUCAUUUUGUAACUAUGUUAUGCAAGCCAAUUUAAAGAGUUUGUCAUCUCUACUCCUAAUGUCUCAGUUGGUAGGUCGCGUUCCGGGUUUUAUUUCCGUCCAACCUCACCCGGUCUUUUUUGGUACUUCUUUGGUACUUCCUCCCACCUCCAUCUCAGCCGCGAAAAACCAAGGAAAACCCCGCGAUCGAGGCACACGCCCAACCUCCCGUCGUAAUUAACUGAGACGAUCGGAAAUAAACCAUCGAGCACAAACCGGCGAAAAUUAACCAGUGAAAAAAAACCCAAAACAAUCGCAUGCACGUACGAGCGAGGCCGCCCACCCUCGAGCGAGAACCACUCGCACGCACGACUCACUCAGCAAAUCAUGCGCCGCCGCCCUCCAUCCUUCGCCACCGCCGCUCCAUCCCUUCGCCGCCGCGGCUCCAUCCCUUCGCCGCCGACCUCGCACAUCAAAGCCGCCGCCGCUCCAUCCCUUCGCCGCCGCCCACGAUCCACUUCAGGAGACGCCGUCGAUCCCGUUGAGGACCUGCUGCCCAUCAUGUCGAGGAUCCAAAGACGAUCCCCUUCAGGAGCCUUGCCGAUCCUUCUCCACACGCCACUGCCUCCCUUGCGAAGAUGCCUUGCCAUGGAUAUCAAUCGGCGCCACGACGGCCGUGGCCUCCCCACCCGCCGACGUUCCAGAUCCGGCCAUCGUUGACCCCCUCCACAUCAGUGAUUGGUCAAGGUAGGGGUGUGUGGCUCUAUCCAUCUUCCCGCGUGUACGGCGUCCGUGUAUCCCGGGCAAGGGUGCUUGUGAGAUCGGGAGGCGAUCAAAAGGAGGAAGAGGAGAUCCAUGGUUGGGGAUACAUUCAACGACCUAGGCAUCAUCCUCCCUGACGUCGUACUCGAAGCCCGCAGCCAUUACCUUCUCAAUCUAUGUUAGUCAGCAGCAGCAAGCAGAGAAUUAACAACAGUGGACCAAAGCAAAGGGGGGUCAGCCUGAAUGGGACGUAUCCCCUUCCAGAGGACUCGCCCUAGCUAACCUGCAUGGUACCUUUCAUUAGCACUUCUCCCACAUUGUACGUCUUGUUCUCUGCAUGAUGUGUGGUCGAUGGGCGGAGGCGACGACUGGCGGCUGUUCUA